rnacentral:rRNA from 1 species
AUUGAACGCUGGCGGGAGGCCUAACACAUGCAAGUCGAACGAGUGGCGGACGGGUGAGUAAUGUCUGGGAAACUGCCUGAUGGAGGGGGAUAACUACUGGAAACGGUAGCUAAUACCGCAUACCAUCGGAUGUGCCCAGAUGGGAUUAGCUAGUGUGUGGGGUAAAGGCUCACCUAGGCGACGAUCCCUAGCUGGUCUGAGAGGAUGACCAGCCACACUGGAACUGCAACACGGACCAGACUCCUACGGGAGGCAGCAGUGGGGAAUAUUGCACAAUGGGCGCAACCCUGAUGCAGCCAUGCCGCGUGUAUGAAGAAGGCCUUCGGGUUGUAAAGUACUUUCAGCGGGGAGGCGUUACCCGCAGAAGAAGCACCGGCUAACUCCGUGCCAGCAGCCGCGGUAAUUC